rnacentral:tRNA from 1 species
GCCUCUUUAGCUCAGUCGGUUAGAGCGUCGUGCUAAUAACGCGAAGGUCAUAGGUUCGAUCCCUGUAAGAGGCA